UGUGAUGAAAAAAAUUUGGAAUAAGGACAACAUCAGAUUGCACGAUACAUCCAUUGACACAAUAUCAAUACAAUUACAAUUACGAUCACAGUCGCAGCAGUUUCUUCUUCCAAAUGAAUUUCGUCUCCAAUUGAAAAUCUCCAGUAUCUUCAACCAUUUCUCUUUCUCUCUCCUCUGAAAAUGGCGCAAAAUCAACCAUCAACCAAACCAGGCCUUCUGGAAUUGGUCCCUCUCUUUGUCGUCCUUCUCAUCGCUGCUCAUGUCAUAGCUUUGGUGUACUGGAUUUUCAGAGUUGCAACUGAGAAGCAGCAGCAAUUUCCUGGAAGAUCCAAAAAACACUGAUUUUGCCUCCUCCUGCAUUCUCUACAACUAAAGGGUUGCUUGCAUUACUUUGCACUCAACAGGAAGAACGUGCCACUGAUAUAGAUAGUGCCAAACUUGAAGUUACCUUCAGAGAAUCAUUAUUUUGUAGGUUAUUGCUCUGUAAGGCGAAGUUCCCGAGUGGAAGUAUUGAUGUUGCUGAUGUAAUGGAUCUGGAAACAUGAAUGUAAAAAUGUAAAAUCUAACAUGUGGGCAAGAAUGCGUUUUAAUCUAGUAAUUCAAAUUGUGUGUAUCUCAUUUCUUUGUAAUCUCGUAAAUACAAUCUUGUAAACAUAUUUAUUGAUUCAUUGUCUACAAUUUGGAUACUCAUAUGCUUCGGUAGUUGAA